rnacentral:rRNA from 1 species
GCAAGUCGAGCGCGGAGUUUACUCCGAGCGGCGAACGGGUGAGUAACACGUAUCCAACCUACCUCAAUCACUGGAAUAACCACUGGAAACGGUGGCUAAUACCGGAUAGGUAAUAGGGACUUAUGUCCUUAUUAUUAAAGAAGCGUUUGCUUCGGGAUGAGAUGGGGAUGCGCAGCAUUAGCUAGUUGGUGAGGUAAUGGCUCACCAAGGCAACGAUGCUUAGCCGACCUGAGAGGGUGAUC